rnacentral:rRNA from 1 species
GAUGAACGCUGGCGGCGUGCUUAACACAUGCAAGUCGAACGAUGAAGCUCAGCUUGCUGGGUGGAUUAGUGGCGAACGGGUGAGUAACACGUGAGUAACCUGCCCUUAACUCUGGGAUAAGCCUGGGAAACUAGGUCUAAUACCGGAUAGGAGCGCCUACCGCAUGGUGGGUGUUGGAAAGAUUUAUCGGUUUUGGAUGGACUCGCGGCCUAUCAGCUUGUUUGUGAGGUAAUGGCUCACCAAGGCGACGACGGGUAGCCGGCCUGAGAGGGUGACCGGCCACACUGGGACUGAGACACGGCCAAGACUCCUACGGGAGGCAGCAGUGGGGAAUAUUGCACAAUGGGCGAAAGCCUGAUGCAGCGACGCCGCGUGAGGGAUGACGGCCUUCGGGUUGUAAACCUCUUUCAGUAGGGAAGAAGCGAAAGUGACGGUACCUGCAGAAGAAGCACCGGCUAAGUACGUG